CCUACGGGUGGCAGCAGUGAGGAAUAUUUGUCAAUGGACGAAAGUCUGAACCAGCCAAGUCGCGUGAAGGAUGACUGCUCUAUGGGUUGUAAACUUCUUUUAUAAAGGAAUAAAACGAGGCACGUGUGCCUUUUUGCAUGUACUCUAGGAAUAAGGAUCGGCUAACUCCGUGCCAGCAGCCGCGGUAAUACGGAGGAUCCGAGCGUUAUCCGGAUUUAUUGGGUUUAAAGGGAGCGUAGGUGGUUUGUUAAGUCAGUUGUGAAAGUUUGCGGCUCAACCGUAAAAUUGCAAUUGAUACUGGCAGACUUGAGUACGGUUGAGGUAGGCGGAAUUCGUGGUGUAGCGGUGAAAUGCUUAGAUAUCACGAAGAACCCCGAUUGCGAAGGCAGCUUACUAAACUGUAACUGACAUUGAUGCACGAAAGCGUGGGGAUCAAACAGGAUUAGAUACCCGAGUAGUC
rnacentral:rRNA from 1 species